rnacentral:rRNA from 1 species
GACGAACGCUGGCGGCGUGCUUAACACAUGCAAGUCGAACGGUGAAGCGCCUUCCUUUUUGGUGGGUGUGGAUGAGUGGCGAACGGGUGAGUAACACGUGAGUAACCUGCCCCCUUCUUCUGGAUAACCGCAUGAAAGUGUGGCUAAUACGGGAUAUUCUGGGUCUGUCGCAUGAUGGGUCUGGGAAAGAUAUUGUUUCGGUGGGGGAUGGGCUCGCGGCCUAUCAGCUUGUUGGUGGGGUGAUGGCCUACCAAGGCGGUGACGGGUAGCCGGCCUGAGAGGGUGGACGGUCACACUGGGACUGAGACACGGCCCAGACUCCUACGAGAGGCAGCAGUGGGGAAUAUGGCACAAUGGGCGCAAGCCUGAUGCAGCGACGCCGCGUGAGGGAUGGAGGCCUUCGGGUUGUGAACCUCUUUCGCCAGUGAAGCAGGCCUGCCUCGUUUGUGGGUGGGUUGACGGUAGCUGGAUAAGAAGCGCCGGCUAACUACGUG